rnacentral:snoRNA from 1 species
UUGCAUGUGGAAAUGUCUGCUCCUCAUUCCUUUGGGAGCAGGAAUAUACUCAUAACAUGCUACAUUAACAAAGGAGUUCUCAGGGCUGCCAACUUUCUAGUAAAGGUUGAGUGGUAGUAUAGUUCUCCUACAUAA